GUCAGUGUAUGUUGUAAUCCUUAUAAUAAAAGUACAACNUUUCAACAACGGAUCUCUUGGCUCUCGCAUCGAUGAAGAACGCGGCGAAAUGCGAUAAGUAAUGUGAAUUGCAGAUUUCAGUGAAUCAUCGAAUCUUUGAACGCACCUUGCGCUCCUUGGUUUUCCAAGGAGCAUGCCUGUUUGAGUGCCCAGAAAUACACUCAACCUAAAACCUGUUUUUGGGUUGGAGAGUGGGGGAUCUGCCUUGCUCCUUUGCAAAGGCUCCCCUCAAACAUGUUAGCUGGCCCUUCUGCCGGUCUGCCUCCUGGCUUGAUAGUCUCAUGUCGAUGCCGCAAGUUGACUUUGGUGGGCUGCUCACAGUCGUCCCCCGGGACAAUGUAACUUUGUGCUCGGGCCUCAAAUCAGGUAGGAUUACCCGCUGAACUUAAGCAUAUCAGUAAGCGGAGGAAAAGAAACUAACAAGGAUUCCCCUAGUAACGGCGAGUGAAGCGGGAAAAGCUCAAAUUUAAAAUCUGGCGUCCUCUGGGCGUCCGAGUUGUAGUCUAGAGAAGUGUUUUCUGUGCCGGACCGUGUAAAAGUCCCCUGGAAUUGGGCAUCAUAGAGGGUGAGAAUCCCGUCUUUGACAUGGCCGCCGGUGCUCUGUGAUGCGCUCUCAAAGAGUCGAGUUGUUUGGGAAUGCAGCUCCAAAUGGGUGGUAAAUUCCAUCUAAAGCUAAAUAUUGGCGAGAGACCGAUAGCGAACAAGUACCGUGAGGGAAAGAUGAAAAGCACUUUGGAAAGAGAGUUAAACAGUACGUGAAAUUGUUGAAAGGGAAGCGCUUGAAGUCAGUCGCGUCCGCCGGGACUCAGCCUUGCCCCUAGCUCGGCGCACUUCCUGGUGGAUCGGGCCAGCAUCGAUUUUGACCAUUGGAAAAGGGCCCAUGGGAAGGUGGCACCUCCGGGUGUGUUAUAGCCCCGGGCCGUAUACUUUGGUUGGGAUCGAGGAACUCAUGCAUGCCCUNCUGGCCGGGGGGAAACCCCACGU
rnacentral:rRNA from 1 species